rnacentral:rRNA from 1 species
CCUACGGGUGGCAGCAGUAGGGAAUAUUGGACAAUGGGUGCGAGCCUGAUCCAGCCAUGCCGCGUGCAGGAAGAAGGCUUUCUGAGUUGUAAACUGCUUUUGCCAGGGGAUAAAAAGCCCGUGCGCGGGAAAUUGAAGGUACCUGGUGAAUAAGCCACGGCUAACUACGUGCCAGCAGCCGCGGUAAUACGUAGGUGGCAAGCGUUGUCCGGAUUUAUUGGGUUUAAAGGGUGCGUAGGCGGUUUUAUAAGUCAGUGGUGAAAUCCGGCAGCUUAACUGUCGAUGUGCCAUUGAUACUGUAGAACUUGAGUACUGAUGAGGUAGGCGGAAUUGACGGUGUAGCGGUGAAAUGCUUAGAUAUCGUCAAGAACACCGAUAGCGAAGGCAGCUUACUAAGGAGUAACUGACGCUGAUGCACGAAAGUGUGGGGAUCAAACAGGAUUAGAUACCCUAGUAGUCC